rnacentral:lncRNA from 1 species
CAAAGCCUCAGAAUUAUUAAGUUAAGGGAAUGAGAUUUGAACCCAGGUUCUAUUGAAUCCAAAGUCCACUAUCUGGCAGAGGAACUCUCUCUCACCUCAAUUUAAUCCAUUUCAUGCACAAGUCAAGAAAUCACCUAAUGAUGUAAUUGGUUCUCUUUGAAAAAGAAAACAGCAACAAUCUACAUUACACUUUCUUCUAAGACAUUUCGACACACUAACACUGUCAGGCAGAAGGUGUUGGAUACUGUUGGCUUCAUUUUCAAUUAAGGAAACUGAAAAUCAAAGUAGUUAGGCCAUUUUGAAGUGGUAAAUAUGGGACUGGAACUCAAAUAUCUUUACUGAAUACAUUAUCUUUCCAUUUAUUCCUGUGAAUGAAAAAUUAUUUGGGCAAAGAAAAAUGGAUCUGAAAAGCAAAGGAGCUCAGAACUUUGGGAACACAAAUCAUCAGGGGAGGGGAAACUGUUCCAAUGGAACCUUGAAAGAGGCAGUUAGGAAACUCCAGCUGCCUGAGACUUCAUCUUCUUGACUGUUUCUACCUGAGGGUGGAAGACCCCUCUGUCUCCUCUCUGGCCAUUGCCUUCUACCUACUCUGUCAUACAAGUAAAACAUACGAUGAAUAUUAGCUUAACAUCAUGUAGACCUUUGUGUCUGGCAGCAGAAGGUUCUGCCUUAGAAGAAAGCACUUUCCUCAUUGGUAGAGAUAUUGAAACAGGAACUGCAUAACCACGUGUCAAGAUUCAUUAGAACAGGAGAUAAAUUCAUUAAACAAGUGGAUGGAGUGAAGUCUGGCUUCUCUAGCUGAGAUCAGAUAAUUCUAGUAAGCUCAUCUCUUAAUGACCGGGACCAAAGCCUUUUCCUGAGCACUGAUGAGGGGGCCACCUUUCAGAAACAACUCAUCACAUUCUUUGUUGAAACUCUGAUUUUCCAUCCCAAAGAAGAGGAUAAAGUGGUUGCCUACACUAAGGAGAGCAAGGUUUACUUAUCGACUGACUUAGGAAAGAAAUGGACCCUUCUUCAAGAACGAGUGACUAAGGACCAUUCUCAGAAUUGCUCUGAUAGAACACCCACGAUUCCAUUUGCCAGCAGCAUUGACCACAAUUCCCUGACUGUGCAGGACGACUACAUAUUCUUUAAGGUAAAUAUUAUCAGCACUGAUGAAAAUGAGGUAUUUGUGGCUGUCCAAGAAUGGUACCAAAUGGACACGUACAACCUUUACCAGUCAGACCCACAGGGCGUGUACUAUUCAAUUGUGCUUGAGAACGUUAGGAGCACGAAGCAACCAGAAGAAAACGUCCUGAUCGAUAUCCUGGAGGUCAGAGGUGUCAAAGGAGUCUUCCUGGCCAACCAAAAGAUUGAUGGAAAGGUCACAACACUGAUAACCUACAACAAAGGCCGUGACUGGGAUUAUCUGACGCCACCUGCCACUGACAUGAAUGGCAAACCCACCAACUGCAAACCUCCUGACUGCCAUCUUCACCUUCAUCUCCGAUGGGCAGACAAUCCAUACGUGUCAGGCACUGUCCAUACCAAGGACACAGCACCUGGUCUGAUCAUGGGAGCAGGUAACCUGGGCUCUCAGCUGGUGGAAUACAAAGAGGAAAUGUACAUCACAUCUGACUGUGGAAAUACUUGGCGUCAGGUCUUCGAAGAGGAACAUCACAUUCUGUACCUGGAUCAUGGUGGAGUGAUUGUGGCUAUCAAAGACACAUCCAUCCCUUUGAAAAUACUCAAGUUCAGCAUUGAUGAAGGUCACACCUGGAGCACACAUAAUUUCACAAGCACCUCAGUCUUCGUGGAUGGACUGCUAAGUGAGCCCGGGGAUGAGACUCUGGUCAUGACGGUCUUUGGUCACAUAAGUUUCCGUUCAGAUUGGGAACUGGUGAAGGUGGACUUCAGACCCUCUUUUCCCAGGCAGUGUACUGAGGAUGAUUAUGACUACUGGAACCUCACCAACUUACAGGGUAAUCGCUGUAUCAUGGGACAACAGAGGAGUUUCCGGAAAAGGAAGACCACAUCAUGGUGUAUCAAGGGGCAAAGCUUCACAUCAGUACUCACAUCUAGUGUGUGCAAAUGUUCAAGCUCAGAUUUUUUUUGUGAUUAUGGAUUUGAAAGAUCAGCAACUUCAAAAUCAGAAGCCAAAAAGUGUUUUGCGAAUUUCUGGUUUAAUCCUGACUCACCUCCUGAAGAUUGUGUGUUGGGGCAGGCAUAUACUAGCAGCCCAGGGUACCGGAAAGUGGUAUCUAAUGUCUGUGAAGGUGGUGUGGACCUGCAGCGGUACGUGCUUCAGCAUCAGUGCCCCCUGACAGCCCCCAGAGGGCUGCAAGUCAGCAUCAAAGGAGAGACUGUGGCCGGUGAUGUUCUAAAUACAAAGUACCUGGUGGAUCUUGGCGAUGGCUUUAAGGCUGUCUAUGUGAACCUCACUGUGACAGGGGAACCUAUCCGACACCGCUAUGAGAAUCCAGGAAUCUACCGGGUCUAUGUCAAAGCAGAAAAUGCUGCUGGGCAUGAGGAAGCUGUGCUGUUUGUUCAAGUGAAUUCUCCUCUACGGGCGCUACACCUGGAAGUAGUUCCUGUUAUUGGAGUAAACCAGGAAGUCAACCUCACUGCCAUUCUGCUGCCCAAGAACCCCAAUCUAACUGUCUUCUACUGGUGGAUAGGAAAUAACUUGCAGGUAUAUCAAUUUCAAGUCCUGCCUCUGAAGUUUACUAAGCACUUGGAUAUAUACAAUCCCAACAUCCCUGAAUGGCGAGAAGACAUUGGCCUGGUCGUCACCCGCCUCCUUUCUGAGGAAACCAAUAUCCCUGAGGAAUCUCUGCUGACUGUGGUGAAACCAGGCCUGCCCACAACUGCUGACUUGCAUGUGCUCCUGCCAGCACCUAAACCAAAGAGGAAGAGGAGCAUACCAAGUGACAAGGUAAGUCAACCCUCUUAUAUAUUUUGAAUAUGUACAUAGAUAGCCUAGCAAAAAAUAAAUGUGGAAAUCAUAUUGUUUGGGGAUCA